UGCCAGCCGCCGCGGUAAUACGAGGGGUGCUAGCGUUGUUCGGAAUCAUUGGGCGUAAAGCGGGUGUAGGCGGCUUGAUAAGUCAGAUGUGAAAUCCCUGGGCUCAACCCAGGACGUGCAUUUGAAACUGUCAAGCUUGAGUAUCAGAGAGGUUCGUGGAAUUCCAGGUGUAGUGGUGAAAUACGUAGAUAUCUGGAGGAACAUCGGUGGGGAAGCCGGCGGACUGGCUGAAUACUGACGCUCAGACCCGAAAGCGUGGGGAUCAAACAGGAUUAGAUA
rnacentral:rRNA from 1 species